UCCGAGUUGACCCCGGCAGUCUCCUAUGAGUUCCCGGCCGAACCGCUGGCAACAUAGGACGAGGGUUGCGCUCGUUGCGGGACUUAACCCAACAUCUCACGACACGAGCUGACGACAACCAUGCACCACCUGUAUACGAGUGUCCAAAGAGUUGACCAUUUCUGGCCCGUUCUCGUAUAUGUCAAGCCUUGGUAAGGUUCUUCGCGUUGCAUCGAAUUAAUCCGCAUGCUCCGCCGCUUGUGCGGACCCCCGUCAAUUCCUUUGAGUUUUAGCCUUGCGGCCGUACUCCCCAGGCGGGGAACUUAAUGCGUUAGCUGCGACACGGAAUCCGUGGAAUGGACCCCACAUCUAGUUCCCAACGUUUACGGCGUGGACUAC
rnacentral:misc_RNA from 1 species